ensembl:lncRNA
CAGGAAUGACAUGCUAAUUGUCCAUGCCACUGGAUGGAACAGACGGAAGCAGGAUAGCCUUCAUCUUGCAUUGUCAAGCAGAUAUGUCAAGGUAUUGCCCAGAUCACAUGAUCUCAAUUUUUUUAUGAUGACAAUAUGAUGACAAGGCUAAAAUCUUAUUUUGUUUUUGUACUAUAGACCUUCCAAAAGGCUGAGGCUCAGUCACAGAGACUGGAGGAUUUGAGCAGGGAACUUGGCUGUCCUGACAACAUGGUGCAUCAGUGGGUACAUGAUGUCAGACAAUGGGAUACUGAUGGUACAGUAUUUUAUGGAAGUACUGUAGUGAUUCUGGGCUCUAAAUAAAUUUAAGCUUGAAACUCUUUAAAUGUAUAGCCUAGAAGAUGUCUGAAUUGUUUAUUUAUAUUGUUGUUUUUUAAGAUUCUGCAGAUACCGGAUGUGAAGACCAACAUAGCCUUCAGAGAUCCAUUGAACAGAUGUUUCUUGGUGUUCAUCAAAAAAAGCCAGCCUUUAUAAUCAUACUGGUAUGUUUAUAACUUUCGUAAUAUUUUUGUUAGAUAUUUUACAUUAUAUUGUGUGUUAUAUUGCUUGCAGAUGUCUUAUCUAAAUUAUUUUGGUAUCAAUCUGAAAGGCCUUAUUUUUAAGAUGUCUCCCUUUAAAUCUUACAGAUUUUAGGCCAAUCAUGCCUUUCAAGUCAUUAAAUUUUCUAACAUUUAUAUUUUAUUUUUUAUUCAGUUAUAAGUCUUCAACAGUAUUGCAUUUACCUUUUGGAUAUCUGCAUACACACGCUUUUGCAUAAUGUUUUCUGUGUUUUGCAACCGGAUGGACAGCAACAAAAUUCGUCACCUGCGACGAAGGAAACUGGGGGAAGAGAAGAAAAAACUAAAGCAAACAAUCAAGCUCUACAAUGAGCAGGUGCCAGAAGCGGAGCGCAUCGUUGAGGAGAUGGUGGAGAGCAAACUGUCUGUAGUAGGAGGAGACAGUGGGGCGGACAGUCUAAUAUGGCCGUGGGAAGUGAACAGCAGUGAAUACAGCAAUAUCCUCACCAAAAAGAAGAUUUUUGACGCAUACAUGUCGAAAGUGCGGCUUCAAGAGGAAAAGGUCAUUCUGAUGAGGGAGAUGAGACAGCACUGCACCUAUCUCAGAAGGCUGGCUGGGAACAUACGGAGAAUGAUGUCAGACAUGUCUUCUGGCAGAGACGGUGACAGCUUAAGUGAAGAGGGGCAUCAUGGGCUACUGUGUCUUCUCCAGAAAAGGCUUGCUGAUGUGGAGGACAAGUUCCAAGUCACAAGAAGAAGUUACAGCCAGGCUUUAGGACCAAAUGCUGCUUCUCUGCUGGAGGAUUUGCGGGAGGAGAUACCGGAGGGGCAUAAAGAAGAUUAUGAAAGUUCAGAUGACAGUGAUUUUGAAGCUGUGUAAAUUUGUCAGGGUGCUAGGCUGUCGUUCCACUUCCUUGUUGUCUUGUGUGUGUGUGUGUGUGUGUGUGUGUGUGUGCCUGCGCAUCCGCAUCCCAUAGUUGAGUCUUGAGUAUAGUAUUGUAUUUCCUGUCGUUAUUACUGUUAUUACCAUGACAACAAAUGAGGAGGUGUUUUGUUUUUCUCUGUCUUGAAGAUAAAAUAUGUAUGUGAUUGUCCAGUUGUUUGUCAUUUCUUUGUCCAUAGUGCAGUCCAUAUUUCCUUCGUGCAGUCGGGGGGUGGUGGUGGUGCUUGGCGCAGUGACAAUUUCGUGCCAAAAGGCUGUGCGCUGGGAGCUCGCCAACUCCAAACUGUUCUACUUUCGGCACAAGGCGGAGCGCUGAGUGGUAAUUUGGCUGACCAGCGCGCGCCGGCGCAAAACCU